UACAGGAGGAGCCAAGCGUUGUCCGGAUUGACUGGGCGUAAAGCGCACGCAGGCGGUUUGGCGCGUGGGGUGAUGAAAUCUGGCCGCUUAACGGCCAGGCGCCAUCCCAUACGGCUAGACUGGAGUGAUGCAGAGGUCGGUGGAAUUCGCCGGUGUAGUGGUGAAAUGCGUAGAGAUCGGCAGGAACACCCAGGGGGAAACCAGCCGACUGGGCAUCGACUGACGCUGAGGUGCGAGAGCGUGGGGAGCGAACCGG
rnacentral:rRNA from 1 species